AGGGAAUCUUCCACAAUGGACGCAAGUCUGAUGGAGCAACGGCCGCGUGAGUGAAGAAGGUUUUCGGACCGUAAAGCUCUGUUGUUGGUGAAGAAGGAUAGAGGUAGUAACUGGCCUUUAUUUGACGGUAAUCAACCAGAAAGUCACGGCUAACUACGUGCCAGCAGCCGCGGUAAUCGUAGGUGGCAAGCGUUGUCCGGAUUUAUUGGGCGUAAAGCGAGCGCAGGCGGAAGAAUAAGUCUGAUGUGAAAGCCCUCGGCUUAACCGAGGAAUUGCAUCGGAAACUGUUUUCUUGAGUGCAGAAGAGGAGAGUAGAACUCCAUGUGUAGCGGUGGAAUGCGUAGAUAUAUGGAAGAAUACCAGUGGCGAAGGCGGCUCUCUGGUCUGCAACUGACGCUGAGGCUCGAAAGCAUGGGUAGCGAACAGGGAU
rnacentral:rRNA from 1 species